UACGUAGGGGGCAAGCGUUGUCCGGAUUUACUGGGCGUAAAGAGCGUGUAGGCGGCCAUCUAAGUCAGACGUGAAAUCCCCCGGCUUAACCUGGGAACUGCGUCCGAUACUGGCAGGCUUGAAUCCGGGAGAGGGAUGCGGAAUUCCAGGUGUAGCGGUGAAAUGCGUAGAUAUCUGGAGGAACACCGGUGGCGAAGGCGGCAUCCUGGACCGGUAUUGACGCUGAGGCGCGAAAGCCAGGGGAGCAAACGGG
rnacentral:rRNA from 1 species